CACAACCGAGCGGUUGAGCUGAGCUGAUCCUAAUCAAGCUUUGAAAAGCAUCUGCAGCAGCUUGGUCAUCUUCAUCACUUUGAUGUUUGGGUUCCACAAGAUGCUUUUGGAGCCACGUUUAAGAGUUCUUCACCAAGCCUUAGCUCUUGAGUACUUUUCCUGUGUUUUUCCCAAGUGUCCAGUCCUACAGUCUCAGAGCUUUACAGGCUGUGAUCCAUCUGGAGCUGUUUUGCAUCCCGUGCAAGGUUUAGCUGGUUUUCCCCCCGGGUGACGUGCGGUGAGCUUCGGGCCGUCGUGACUCGGCGUUGUCCACGCUGUGAAACGACCACCACCCUUCGUCACGCGCACUGGCGUUUUUGUGACGAGGAUGUUAAGGUCUGCUCUCCCGGUGGCUCCACACAUGCAGGUUUCCGAACCAGGCACCGGGCCGUGCGUGACCUCCCCAGGACUGACUUCGUAAAGGCCUUCCUGGCCUCCCGGCCCUCCACCCACGCUGCUCGCCACACGCGCUGGCCCUGGUUCCGUGUGCUCUCCGCAUCUGCGGACUUGGGUUUUCACUGUGUGUUCUCCAGAUUCCACACGUUCGGCUCAUGGGCAAAGUCAGGGCAAGUCAGGUGGAACGCACGCUCCCUCACAGGGUGAGAGAUGGGUCAGGGUCAGGCUCAAGGCCAGUUUCAAGGUAAAGACCUGGCCUGAGGUUAAGGAUGAAGUCAACCGAAAGUCAGGACAAGACGUGGGCACAGUGAGUGAGUG
ensembl:lncRNA